UACGUAGGGGGCAAGCGUUAUCCGGAUUUACUGGGUGUAAAGGGAGCGUAGACGGCAUAACAAGUCUGAAGUGAAAUCCCGCGGCUCAACCGCGGAACUGCUUUGGAAACUGUUAAGCUAGAGUGCAGGAGGGGUAAGUGGAAUUCCUAGUGAAGCGGUGAAAUGCGUAGAUAUUAGGAGGAACACCAGUGGCGAAGGCGGCUUACUGGACUGUAACUGACGUUGAGGCUCGAAAGCGUGGGGAGCAAAC
rnacentral:rRNA from 1 species